GUGCUUGGUUAAGCUGCACAUACAUUAAAAUUGAAAUGAUAAGAAAAUAAAGCAAGAAUCCUGGGCAAGGAUGAGAUGCAGAUUCAUGAAGAGUUAAAACCAUUU